GUCUCAGGCUAAAUCAAAUAAAUACUUACAAGUGAUGCUGUUGCAAGGUUAAAGAUUACAGAGAUAUAUGGAGAUUAAAGAGAGCCAUCAUUACCACUGCCCGCAUGGAGCACUCACUACUUCCUGAUUCACGACCCAUUUCUGACAGUGUUCCCUCCGUGUUAUCCACCGCUGCAGAUUUACACCGUCUCCACGCUGCACAGUUCCCUCUGGAUCCCUUGGAAUACACGAAAAGACUAUCAGCUUCAGAUAAGCCCCAUAUGACUUUCCCUUUCCCCGCCUGCUUUCCUGGAUAUUCCUGUCAUCUGUGUUUCACCAUUGUUGUUCAAUAAAACUUGCUGUUCAUAUCA